AACUCUCAGCGAAAGCUGGUUGUGGAGGAGGCGGGUGCCCCUUUGAAAUAUCUCAGCAUUGUGCAACGGCGCAACGUGAAUCUUUGCUGUGACAAUACUCUCUAUC
rnacentral:misc_RNA from 1 species